rfam:Ovis aries breed Texel chromosome 10, whole genome shotgun sequence.
UCCCUGGUGGCUCAGAGGUUAAAGCGUCUGCCCACAAUGCGGGAGACCUGGGUUCAAUCCCUGGGUCAGGGAA